rnacentral:rRNA from 1 species
AUUGAACGCUGGCGGCAGGCCUAACACAUGCAAGUCGAGCGAGCGUCGGACGGGUGAGUAAUACAUGGGGACUGCCCGAUUUAGGGGGGUAACUACUGGAAACGGUAGCUAAUACCGCAUCCUCUCGGAUAACCCAUAUGGGAUUAGCUAGUAGGUGAGGUAAUGGCUCACAUAGGCGACGAUCCCUAGCUGGUCUGAGAGGAUGAACAGCAACAUUGGGCUGGGGACACGGCCCGGAUUCCUACGGAGGCAGCAGUGGGAAUUAUUGCACAAGGGGCGCAAGCCUGAUGCAGCAAGGCGGGGGGUAUGAAGAGGGCCCUAGGGUUGUAAAGUACGUUCAGUCGGGAGGCGUUACCGGCAGAGGAGGCACCGGCUAACUACGUGCCAGCAGCCGCGGUAAUAC